GACCAUUCAUUCCAGCGCGACAGCUCCGGCAUCCAAUCGUCGUUCAUCAAUUUUUUCCUCACAACCUGAUUCUCCUGCCGUACCCCUGUAACGUGUGGCGCCCUUACCGAUCCAGAACCUGUUCUUCGCCGCCUUAAACAUACCCAAUGACUUGGCCUCUACAACCGUCUCUGGCAGCGAAUUCCACCACCAUCUGCUUCACCACUUUCUGGCUAAACAAAUUCCUCGUCAUCUGCAUUAUAAAUGUACGACCUUUCAUUCUGUGGCCAUGCUCCCGGGUUCUAGACUAUCUUUACCUGAAACAUCCACUCCACGUCCAAUCUACCAAGACCUUUCAUAAUCUAGCAGGUUUCAAAUAGCUCCAUAUCCACCCCAUCCGUGCAUGUCCAGAGCCUCCAGACGCAGUGCGUACGUUAACAUAAUCAUCCCCUCAAUCAUUCUCGUAAACCCCCUUUGGACCCUCUCCAAAGCCAGCACAUUCCUCCCCUAAACCGCUCACUACCUUCCAAAUGUGGCCUCGCCAAAGACUUUAACGCCUCAAUUCUAUUCCCUUCAUUAUGGGUCUAUGGGUCUUUCUUCCUUGCUGCACCUUCUAAGAUCUUCAGUUAAUCGAUGGCAGAUUUUACUUUAUUUUUCUCCGCGUCCUCUUUGCAUCAGCGCUUCGUGUUUACUCAUCGCCUCCCCGUCUCUUUCCCAGAUGCUACCUCGGUGACGAUCCAUCAGUCUCCCGGCGCUCUGACCGGACCUCCCGGCAAAAACGUGAAGGUGAACUGCACUGUUAAGGGCAGUACCACCAGCACCGAUUACAUGUUCUGGUACCGACAAGACCCGGGAGAGGGGCCAAAGAAACUGUUCUACUCUCAAAUAGCCAAGAGCGUGCAGCCACAGACGCCGGUGGACGGUUUUACGGCAGAGAGACCGAACGACAACGAGUUAUACCUACAUUCCGCCGGCUUAAAGGAUAGUUCAUCGGCCGUGUAUUUCUGCGCCUGGAGUCUACACAGCGACUUAGAUAAACGUGUGAGACAAACAAUAACCUCACCCCCUCAUCCGCUGACAUUGAGCGCCCCCUUCGGCCGUGAGAUGUUUGUGGUGCUCCCCCCUCUCUCUGAGUAUAUCUCUACCGCUAGAUCUUUUCUGCCCUUCAUCCACCUGCUCGCGCUUUAUUUCACCCUCUGCGCUCUCCAUCCAAUCUGA